rnacentral:rRNA from 1 species
UACGUAGGGACCAAGCGUUUGUUCGGGAUUUUACUGGCGUAAAGGGCGCGUAGGCGGCGCGGUAAGUCACUUGUGAAAUCUCUGACUUAACUCAGAACGGCCAAGUGAUACUGCAGUGCUAGAGUGUGGAAGGGCAAUCGGAAUUCGUUGGUGUAGCGGUGAAAUGCUAGAUAAUCAGAGGAACACUGAGGUGAAGACGGGUUGC